UGCAAGCGAAGAAAAGCUAGCGGUUACCCCCACUUCAUCGAUUUCCGACAUUGAGCGAAGACACGCUCGAAGUUCGAUAUGGUCGAACUAUUAGCGAAGCAACGCUCAACGCCGACAACAGUGAGUGAGUGCGUGCGUCCCGUAGAAAAAUUAUUUGUGGGUUAAGUUGCUAAUUAAAUAAAAGCUAAAAAUUAUAAAUAUGGCUGAAGGGACCGAUGAAUGUUUCACAGCGCCAGAAAAUACAAACGAAAAUCUAUUAAAAUCCUACACAGGUGAUAUGUGCGAAACCAUUUGUAAUAUAAAUGAAGUAAAUGAUCAUCCUUGCAUGGAAGAAUACAAUAACGUUUAUAUUGAUGAAAAUUUAUAAAUGUAUCCUCAAAGCGCUGACGGAAAAAUUAUUCGAAAAAGUUUGGUGAAGAAUAACGAGGUGAUCGUGAUGGAGACCACCCAAAUCCAAAACCGAGAGACCAAUAGCAAUUGGCAAAACCAAAAAGUUAUACAAGAGGAACAGCUCAUCGAAGAAAUUCGCAAACGUCCUGCGCUGUGGAAUUUCAAGGGCGGCAGGCGAGAGAGAGACAGGCGGAAAAAUUUUUUUGUUAUACAAUUGUUUAUUUAUUUUUUCGUAGCAAAAUACGUUGUGUGCAUAGAAAACAUGUGUAUUAUUAAAUUAAUUACGUAGAAAAAUAAAAGAUAUAUAUUUAUAUACGAGUA